rnacentral:rRNA from 1 species
CUGCGGUGGGAAAUAACCCCGGGAAACUGGGGAUAAUGUCCCAUAGAUUACGGAUACUGGAAUGUUCUGUAGUCCAAAGAUUUAUCGCCACAGGAUGGGUCUGCGGCCGAUUAGGUAGUUGUUGGGGUAAAGGCCCAACAAGCCUUUGAUCGGUACGGGUUGUGGGAGCAAGAGCCCGGAGUUGGAUUCUGAGACACGAAUCCAGGCCCUACGGGGCGCAGCAGGCGCGGAAACUUUACAAUGCGGGAAACCGUGAUAAGGGAACUCCGAGUGUCCGUAAAUUCGGACUGUCCGUGUGUUUAAAAAGCAUGCGAAGAAAGGGCCGGGCAAGACCGGUGCCAGCCGCCGCGGUAAUACCGGCGGCUCGAGUGGUGGCCACUAUUACUGGGCUUAAAGCGUUCGUAGCUUGGUUGUUAAGUCUCUUGGGAAAUCUAUCGGCUUAACCGAUAGGCGUCCAGGGGAUACUGGCAAUCUAGGGACCGGGAGAGGUGAGGGGUACUUCAGGGGUAGGAGUGAAAUCCUGUAAUCCUUGGGGGACCACCUGUGGCGAAGGCGCCUCACCAGAACGGCUCCAACAGUGAGGGACGAAAGCUGGGGGAGCAAACCGGAUUAGAUACCCGGGUAGUCCCAGCCGUAAACGAUGCACGUUAGGUGUAUCGAUGACCACGAGUCAUCGAGGUGCCGAAGGGAAACCGUGAAACGUGCCGCCUGGGAAGUACGGUCGCAAGGCUGAAACUUAAAGGAAUUGGCGGGGGAGCACCACAACAGGUGGAGCCUGCGGUUUAAUCGGACUCAACGCCGGAAAUCUCACCGGAUAAGACAGCUGAAUGAUAGCCGGGCUGAAGACUCUGCUUGACUAGCUGAGAGGUGGUGCAUGG